rnacentral:rRNA from 1 species
AGAGUUUGAUCCUGGCUCAGGAUGAACGCUGGCGGCGUGCCUAACACAUGCAAGUCGAGCGAAGCGCAUUUGCGGAUUUCUUCGGAAUGAAGCGUUUGCGACUGAGCGGCGGACGGGUGAGUAACGCGUGGGGAACCUGCCUCAUACAGGGGGAUAACAGUUGGAAACGACUGCUAAUACCGCAUAAGCGCACGGGAACGCAUGUUUCUGUGUGAAAAGCCGAGACGGUAUGAGAUGGACCCGCGUUAGAUUAGCCAGUUGGCGGGGUAACGGCCCACCAAAGCGACGAUCUAUAGCCGGCCUGAGAGGGCGACCGGCCACAUUGGGACUGAGACACGGCCCAAACUCCUACGGGAGGCAGCAGUGGGGAAUAUUGCACAAUGGGGGAAACCCUGAUGCAGCGACGCCGCGUGAGCGAAGAAGUAUUUCGGUAUGUAAAGCUCUAUCAGCAGGGAAGAACAUGACGGUACCUGACUAAGAAGCCCCGGCUAACUACGUGCCAGCAGCCGCGGUAAUACGUAGGGGGCAAGCGUUAUCCGGAUUUACUGGGUGUAAAAGGGAGCGCAGACGGUUUUGCAAGUCUGGAGUGAAAACCCGGGGCUCAACCCCGGGACUGCUUUGGAAACUGUGGAACUGGAGUAUCGGAGGGGUAAGCGGAAUUCCUAGUGUAGCGGUGAAUGCGUAGAUAUUAGGAGGAACACCAGUGGCGAAGGCGGGCUUACUGGACGAUCACUGACGUUGGGGCUCGAAAGCGUGGGGAGCAAACAGGAUUAGAUACCCUGGUAGUCCACGCCUAAACG